UCCUCUCCCAAAAACGUGGUAUAGCAACUGCAACUGCUUUGACAUCGACAUCUUGAACGCAUAUUGCGGCCAUGGGUUAGAUGGGGACGCUGUCGAGGGUCGGCUAAAACUAUACGAGAAAAAAGGAAGAGGUUGGGUUUUGCCAGCUGGCGUGAUCUCCUCUAUGAGUAAUCAUGUGAGGUGCCAGAUCUAUGGCGUUUCCCUAAUGUAUCCGGAUGCACCCUUGUCUUGGCAGAAAGCCGUGGUGAGGUGCAGUGGCGGAAUCGUGGUUUAAUAAUCGGGUUGGUACUCAGUUGUCAGUGUGUUUGGCGAUCCCCUAGUCGGCACACUCAUGAUUUCUGGGAUAAUUCCAUACCAGGCACGUUCCGUUACUGUUACUUUGUCAUUGGUUUGAUGCUGAACUUGGUCAUGUGUCUGAUGCUAUUUCAUAUAACGACGGUACCCCUCGUGGUCUGUCUUCCUGACCUCUGUUCAGACGUGAUUACCCGCUGAACUUAAGCAUUUCACUA
rnacentral:rRNA from 1 species